rnacentral:rRNA from 1 species
CCAGACUCCUACGGGAGGCAGCAGUGGGGGGUAUUGCACAAUGGGGGAAACCCUGAUGCAGCGACGCCGCGUGAGUGAAGAAGUAUUUCGGUAUGUAAAGCCCUAUCAGCAGGGAAGAAAAUGACAGUACCUGACCAAGAAGCCCCGGCUAACUACGUGCCAGCAGCCGCGGUAAUACGUAGGGGGCAAGCGUUAUCCGGAUUUACUGGGUGUAAAGGGAGCGUAGACGGUUAUGUAAGUCUGGAGUGAAAGCCCGGGGCCCAACCCCGGGACUGCUUUGGAAACUGUGUAACUGGAGUACGGGAGGGGCAGGCGGAAUUCCUGGUGUAGCGGUGAAAUGCGUAGAUAUCAGGAGGAACACCGGCGGCGAAGGCGGCCUGCUGGACUGAAACUGACGUUGAGGCUCGAAAGCGUGGGGAGCAAACAGGAUUAGAUACCCGGGUAUC